rnacentral:pre_miRNA from 1 species
UUACUACUCCCUCCGUUCCUAAAUACUUGUCUUUCUAGGUAUUUCAACAAGUGACUACAUACGGAGCAAAAUGAGUGAAUCUACACUCUAAAAUAUGUCUACAUACAUCCGUAUGUAGUAGUCAUUUGAAAUGUCUAGAAAGACAAAUAUUUAGGAACGGAGGGAGUAUUUU